CGUUGGCCAAUAAUGUGUUAUGAUUUCAAUUUUUAUAUUCUGUAUUAUGCAAAAAUAUUUUUAAUCACAUGGUUAAUUUUGAUUUGCAUAUUGGUAGGCAUCGGUAUUAGGAUCAGGAAACAGCCAUGAUGGGCAGAAGGUAUAGAGGGAAUUAAAUAUAAUUUUUGUUGUAGUCUGAGUGUCGGGACGACACUCAAUUAAGCAGGGGAGUGUGUAACAGGUCAGAAUUGAACUGUUUUAUAGUGAAACAUAUACAUCCAUUUCUAAUCAAUAUCUCCUCAGGAGGAAAGUAAGAAGUUUAUAUGUUAACAAACUUUGUACUUCAAAGAAGUAUGACUCACACAUAUUCCGAGUAGAAGCUAUCAAUUUGGCCAAAACAUGACAUUCCACAGCUAUGAGAGAGUUAAUGAUGUACGGUCACUUGGUCAAAGGUUGGUAACUCGACCCCCCCCCCCUUCCAGAACACUUGUAACAACUUAGCCAAACAAACCCCAAAUUGUAAACAUCGGAUAAGAACCCCAAACUCCCAAAACAAAAGACUUCCUGUCUCCCUCCCAAUAACAAGACCCUUUACCAGAACAGGUUAUGUGUGGUAGCUAUACCACCGUGAGAGUAUAGCUGUUAUAAAAGAAGGCAGAGGUAUUUGUGAGAUUCACUCCUGUACUGCACCCCAUCCAUGGGGCAGGCAGGGAGGUCGACUCUGCAAGCUUUUGGUGUUACAUGUCAUUAGGUGUUGACAAAUUACAAUCAACAUGUAAGAAGCAGGAACGAGAGGAAACAGUCCUCUAGGCCAGAUUGCCAGGGCUUUAGCUUUGGCUUUAGCUUACUUUAGCUUUGUUCACUUUGCACCUGAAAUAAAAAGAACCGCAACACAA